rnacentral:lncRNA from 10 species
CUGCCAUCUUGGAUUCCAUCAGUCUUAGCUGGUUUGAUCACCAGGGAGAAGUUUGGACCUCAGGCAUCCUGCUUCCUAAAGAUAAACAGUGUUAAGGCAGGGUAGAUAUUCACGGAGGUCAUGUGGGUAUUGCACUGGAUGACAUCUUGGCUUCAGCCCUGAUCUGUUCAGAGCCCUCAGCACGGUACUGGAGGAGAGGCCUUGGGCCGCAUCGUGGCAUAUUGUGGCUUUGGGGAGAAAGAAAAGCAGAUAGUGCAAUGGAAAGAGCGUGGACUUGAGAGUCAGACUUGACUUCAACUCCUAGCUCUACCACUUACCACCUAGGUGACCUCAAGCCACUUUCUCAGCCUUUCUGAGACUCUGUAUCCUCAUGUGUAUCCUAGAGUUUGUCUGAUAGGGCUAUAGUGAGAAUUAAUUGAAUUAAGUAUAGUGAGAAUUAAGCCAGGUCUGGAGAGGCCUGGCUACUGGUGAGUGAGGUAACUGAGAUCAGGUAUGGAGAGGACUGGCUCCUGGUGAGUGAGUUAAUUGAGAUGAGGUAUGGAGGGACCUGUCUCCUGGUGACUGAGUUAAUUGAGAUGAGGUGUGGAGGGACCUGGCUCCUGGUGAGUGAGUUAAUUGAGAUCCAUUAGGGAGGGACCUGGCUCCUGGCGAGUGAGUUAAUUGACACCCGGUAUGGAGGGACCUGGCUCCUGGCGAGUGAUUUAAUUGAGACCCGGUGUGGAGGGACUUGGCUCCUGGUGAGUGAGUGAAUUGAGAUGAGGUAUGGAGGGACCUGUCUCCUGGUGAGUGAGUUAAUUGAGAUGAGGUGUGGAGGGACCUGUCUCCUGGUGAGUGAGUUAAUUGAGAUGAGGUAUGGAGGGACCUGGCUCCUGGUGAGUGAGUGAAUUGAGAUCAGGUAUGGAGGGACUUGGCUCCUGGUG